rnacentral:rRNA from 1 species
CAAUAGCGUAUAUUAAAGUUGUUGCAGUUAAAAAGCCCGUAGUUGGAUUUCUGGUAGGAGCGACCGUGCCGAACUUGAUUGUUCGAGUAUUGUGUUGUCUUCAGCCAUCCUCGUGGAGAACUUUUCUAACAUUAACUUGUUGGGAUUGGGACCCGCGUCGUUUACUGUGAAAAAAUUAGAGUGUUUAAAGCAGGCAUUAGCUUGAAUACAUUAGCAUGGAAUAAUAAGAUAGGACUUUGGUACUAUUUUGUUGGUUUGCAUACCAAAUCAAUGAUCAACAGGAACAGUUUGAGGAUAUUCGUAUGAACAUGUCAGAGGUGAAAUUCUUGGAUUUUGAUCAGACGAACUACUGCGAAAGCAUUUAUCAAGGAUGUUUUCAUUAA